AGAGUUUGAUCCUGGCUCAGAUUGAACGCUAGCGGGAUGCUUUACACAUGCAAGUCGAACGGCAGCGCGAGAGAGCUUGCUCUCUUGGCGGCGAGUGGCGGACGGGUGAGUAAUAUAUCGGAACGUGCCCAGUAGCGGGGGAUAACUACUCGAAAGAGUGGCUAAUACCGCAUACGCCCUACGGGGGAAAGGGGGGGAUCGCAAGACCUCUCACUAUUGGAGCGGCCGAUAUCGGAUUAGCUAGUUGGUGGGGUAAAGGCUUACCAAGGCAACGAUCCGUAGCUGGUUUGAGAGGACGACCAGCCACACUGGGACUGAGACACGGCCCAGACUCCUACGGGAGGCAGCAGUGGGGAAUUUUGGACAAUGGGGGAAACCCUGAUCCAGCCAUCCCGCGUGUAUGAUGAAGGCCUUCGGGUUGUAAAGUACUUUUGGCAGAGAAGAAAAGGUACCUCCUAAUACGAGGUACUGCUGACGGUAUCUGCAGAAUAAGCACCGGCUAACUACGUGCCAGCAGCCGCGGUAAUACGUAGGGUGCAAGCGUUAAUCGGAAUUACUGGGCGUAAAGCGUGUGUAGGCGGUUCGGAAAGAAAGAUGUGAAAUCCCAGGGCUCAACCUUGGAACUGCAUUUUUAACUGCCGAGCUAGAGUAUGUCAGAGGGGGGUAGAAUUCCACGUGUAGCAGUGAAAUGCGUAGAUAUGUGGAGGAAUACCGAUGGCGAAGGCAGCCCCCUGGGAUAAUACUGACGCUCAGACACGAAAGCGUGGGGAGCAAACAGGAUUAGAUACCCUGGUAGUCCACGCCCUAAACGAUGUCAACUAGCUGUUGGGGCCGUUAGGCCUUAGUAGCGCAGCUAACGCGUGAAGUUGACCGCCUGGGGAGUACGGUCGCAAGAUUAAAACUCAAAGGAAUUGACGGGGACCCGCACAAGCGGUGGAUGAUGUGGAUUAAUUCGAUGCAACGCGAAAAACCUUACCUACCCUUGACAUGUCUGGAAAGCCGAAGAGAUUUGGCCGUGCUCGCAAGAGAACCGGAACACAGGUGCUGCAUGGCUGUCGUCAGCUCGUGUUGUGAAAUGUUGGGUUAAGUCCCGUAACGAGCGCAACCCUUGUCCUUAUUUGCCAGCGGGUAAUGCCGGGAACUCUAAGGAGACUGCCGGUGACAAACCGGAGGAAGGUGGGGACGACGUCAAGUCAUCAUGGCCCUUACGAGUAGGGCUACACACGUGCUACAAUGGCCGGUACAAAGGGUUGCGAGCUCGCGAGAGUUAGCCAAUCCCGAAAAGCCGGUCUCAGUCCGGAUCGGAGUCUGCAACUCGACUCCGUGAAGUCGGAAUCGCUAGUAAUCGUGAAUCAGAAUGUCACGGUGAAUACGUUCCCGGGCCUUGUACACACCGCCCGUCA
rnacentral:rRNA from 1 species